UGCAGUCGACGAACUCUGGUAUUGAUUGGUGCUUGCAUCAUGAUUUACAUUUGAGUGAGUGGCGAACUGGUGAGUAACACGUGGGAAACCUGCCCAGAAGCGGGGGAUAACACCUGGAAACAGAUGCUAAUACCGCAUAACAACUUGGACCGCAUGGUCCGAGUUUGAAAGAUGGCUUCGGCUAUCACUUUUGGAUGGUCCCGCGGCGUAUUAGCUAGAUGGUGGGGUAACGGCUCACCAUGGCAAUGAUACGUAGCCGACCUGAGAGGGUAAUCGGCCACAUUGGGACUGAGACACGGCCCAAACUCCUACGGGAGGCAGCAGUAGGGAAUCUUCCACAAUGGACGAAAGUCUGAUGGAGCAACGCCGCGUGAGUGAAGAAGGGUUUCGGCUCGUAAAACUCUGUUGUUAAAGAAGAACAUAUCUGAGAGUAACUGUUCAGGUAUUGACGGUAUUUAACCAGAAAGCCACGGCUAACUACGUGCCAGCAGCCGCGGUAAUACGUAGGUGGCAAGCGUUGUCCGGAUUUAUUGGGCGUAAAGCGAGCGCAGGCGGUUUUUUAAGUCUGAUGUGAAAGCCUUCGGCUCAACCGAAGAAGUGCAUCGGAAACUGGGAAACUUGAGUGCAGAAGAGGACAGUGGAACUCCAUGUGUAGCGGUGAAAUGCGUAGAUAUAUGGAAGAACACCAGUGGCGAAGGCGGCUGUCUGGUCUGUAACUGACGCUGAG
rnacentral:rRNA from 1 species